rnacentral:ncRNA from 1 species
GAACAAAUCAGGACGCUUAGAGUAUGGCCACAUGAAUGACUCAGCGCAGUAUGAAGUCUUUGUUUCUUCCGAAAACAAGCUCAAUGAGAGCCAUCGGGGGUAGAUCUAUCUCAUGACGAGUGGUGGAAUACUUUGACUCAUGAGAGAGAAGCUGAGGCGAAGGCGUCUACCUAGAGGGUUUCUGUCGAUCAAGGGCGAGAGUAGGAGUAUCCAACAGGAUUAGAGACCCUGGUAGUUCCUACCUUAAACGAUGCCGACAGGAGUUUGUCAUUUGUUAAUGGCAGAAUCUUUGGAGAAAUCAUAGUUCUUGGGCUCUGGGGGAACUACGACCGCAAGGCUGAAACUUGAAGGAAUUGACGGAAGGGCACACCAGGGGUGGAGCCUGUGGCUUAAUUUGAAUCAACACGGGGAAACUUACCAGGACCAGAUGUUUUUUAUGACUGACAGGCUUCGGGUCUUUCAGGAUAUUGUUUUUGGUGGUGCAUGGCCGUUGGUGGUGCGUGGGUUGACCUGUCUAGCGUUGAUUCAGCUAACGAGCGAGAUUAUCGCCAAUUAUUUACUUUGCCGAAGUCCUUCGGUUAAAGUUCUAAUUGGGACUCCCUGCGAUUUUAGCAGGUGGAAGAGGGUAGCAAUAACAGGUCCGUGAUGCCCUUUAGAUGCUCUGGGCUGCACGCGUGCUACAAUGUUAGGAUCAAUAGGACUGCGAGCCUGAGAGGGUGCGCUACUCUUAUAAUCCCUAACGUAGUUGGGAUUGACGUUUGUAAUCAGCGUCAUGAACCAGGAAUCCCUUGUAAAUGUGUGUCAACAACGCACGUUGAAUACGUCCCUGCCCUUUGUACACACCGCCCGUCGCUCCUACCGAUUGGAUGACUCGGUGAAAUCACCGGAUGCUUACGAGCAGAAAGUGAUUAAAUCACGUUAUCUAGAGGAAGGAGAAGUCGUAACAAGGUAACGGUAGGUGAACCUGCCGUUGGAUCAGUU